AGAGUUUGAUCCUGGCUCAGGAUGAACGCUAGCGGCAGGCCUAAUACAUGCAAGUCGGACGGGAUAGGAGAGCUUGCUUUCCUUGAGAGUGGCGCACGGGUGCGUAACACGUAUGUAACCUACCCUUGUCAGGGGGAUAGCCUCUCGAAAGAGAGAUUAAGACCGCAUAACAUUAUUGAAUAGCAUUAUUUAAUAAUCAAAUAUUUAUAGGACAAGGAUGGGCAUGCGGAACAUUAGCUAGUUGGUAAGGUAACGGCUUACCAAGGCUACGAUGUUUAGGGGAUCUGAGAGGAUGACCCCCCACACUGGUACUGAGACACGGACCAGACUCCUACGGGAGGCAGCAGUAAGGAAUAUUGGUCAAUGGGCGGAAGCCUGAACCAGCCAUGCCGCGUGCAGGAAGACGGCCCUACGGGUUGUAAACUGCUUUUGCAGGGGAAUAAACCCUCAUAUGUAUAUGAGGCUGAAUGUACUCUGAGAAUAAGGAUCGGCUAACUCCGUGCCAGCAGCCGCGGUAAUACGGAGGAUCCAAGCGUUAUCCGGAUUUAUUGGGUUUAAAGGGUGCGUAGGUGGCUUAUUAAGUCAGGGGUGAAAGACGGUAGCUUAACUAUCGCAGUGCCUUUGAUACUGAUGAGCUUGAAUGGACUAGAGGUAAGCGGAAUGUGACAAGUAGCGGUGAAAUGCAUAGAUAUGUCACAGAACACCAAUUGCGAAGGCGGCUUACUAUGGUUUUAUUGACACUGAGGCACGAAAGCGUGGGGAUCAAACAGGAUUAGAUACCCUGGUAGUCCACGCCCUAAACGAUGAAUACUCGAUGUUGGCGAUAUACAGUCAGCGUCUAAGCGAAAGCGUUAAGUAUU
rnacentral:rRNA from 1 species